AGGCUUAUGGUGGAUACCUAAGCACCUAAAAACAAGGAAGGGCAUAGUAAGCAACAAAAUGAUUUGGGGAGUUGAAAAUAAACAUAGAUCUGGAGAUUCCUGAAUAGGUCAACGAAAUGGAAGCAGCCUAAACCAUGAAAAGGGGGUUGUGGGAGAGCAAUACAAGUGUCGUGCUUCUAGGCAAAGCGGUGGAGUACUACUACACCCUAGAUGGCGAGAGUCUAGUAGCUGAAAGCAUCACUAGCUUACACUCUAACUUGACUAGCAUGGGGCACGUGGAAUCCCRUGUGAAUCAGCAAGGACCACCUUACAAGGCUAAAUACUCCUAUGUGACUGAUAGUGAAGUAGUACCAUAAGGGGAGGGUGAAAAGUACCCUCAUCGGGGAGUGAAAUAGAAUACAAAACCAUAAGCUCCUAAGUAGUGGGAGGAGCCCAUGGCUCUAACUGCGUGCUUGUUGAAGAAUGAGCCAGCGAUUCAUAGGUAGUGGCUUGGUUAAGGGAACCCACCGGAGCCGUAGCGAAAGCGAGUCUUCAUAGGGCAAUUGUCACUGCUUAUGGACCCGAACCCAGGUAAUCUAUCUAUGACUAGGAUGAAGCUUGGGAAGUGGAGAUCUAAAUCGACUGAUGCUGAAGAAUUAACAAAUGAAUUGUGGUUAGGAGUGAAAUGCCACUUGAACCCAGAGCUAGCUAGCUCCCCCUCAAAUGCGUUGAGGUGUAGCAGUUGAUUGGACAUCUAGGGGUAAAGCACUAUUUUGGUGCGGGCCGCGAGAAUGGUACCAAAUCGAGGCAAACUCUGAAUACUAGAUAUGACUGCUCAAUGAUAAAGGAGGUAGGGGUGCAGAGACAACCAAGAGGUUUGCCUAGAAACAACCACCUUUGCAAGAGUGUGUGUAAUAGCUCAUUGAUUGAGUGCUCUUAUGCCAAAGAUGAACGGAGCUAAGCAAUCUGCCAAAGCUAUGGGAUGUAAAAAUGCAUCGAUAGGGGAGCAUUCCGCCUUAGAUGGUAGCACCCACGCAAAUAGGUGUGGAUGAAGCGGAAGCGAGAAUGUUGGCUUGAGUAACACAAACAUUGGUGAGGAUCCAAUG
rnacentral:ncRNA from 1 species